AACGCGAAGAACCUUACCUGGGCUUGACAUGCAGGAAGUAGGAACCGGAAACGGGGACGACCUGUUAAGUCAGGAACCUGCACAGGUGGUGCAUGGCUGUCGUCAGCUCGUGCCGUGAGGUGUUGGGUUAAGUCCCGCAACGAGCGCAACCCUCACUCUAUGUUGCCAUCGGGUAAUGCCGGGCACUCUUAGGGAACUGCCGGCGAAGAGCUGGAGGAAGGGGGGAUGACGUCAAGUCCGUAUGCCCCUUAUGUCCAGGGCUACACACAUGCUACAAUGGCCGAUACAGAGGGUUCCCAACCCGCGAGGGGGAGGCAAUCCCACAAAGUCGGUCUCAGUUCGGAUUGCAGGCUGCAACUCGCCUGCAUGAAGUCGGAAUCGCUAGUAAGCGCAGAUCAGCAGGCUGCGCUGAAUACGUUCCCGGGCCUUGUACACACCGUAGUAC
rnacentral:rRNA from 1 species